rnacentral:rRNA from 1 species
GUAAGGAAUAUUGGUCAAUGGACGAAAGUCUGAACCAGCCAUGCCGCGUGAAGGAUGAAGGCCCUCUGGGUUGUAAACUUCUUUUAUCUGGGACGAAAAAAGGGUAUUCUUACUCACUUGACGGUACCAGAGGAAUAAGCACCGGCUAACUCCGUGCCAGCAGCCGCGGUAAUACGGAGGGUGCAAGCGUUAUCCGGAUUCACUGGGUUUAAAGGGUGCGUAGGUGGGUAUUUAAGUCAGUGGUGAAAUCUCCGAGCUUAACUCGGAAACUGCCAUUGAUACUAUUUACCUUGAAUGCCCUGGAGGUAAGCGGAAUAUGUCAUGUAGCGGUGAAAUGCUUAGAUAUGACAUAGAACACCAAUUGCGAAGGCAGCUUACUACGGGGUGAUUGACACUGAGGCACGAAAGCGUGGGGAGCAAACAGGAUUAGAUACCCGAGUAGUCC